rnacentral:rRNA from 1 species
GGAUUAGAUACCCUGGUAGUCCACGCCGUAAACGAUGAGAACUAGCCGUUGGGGGCUUCGGCCUUUGGUGGCGCAGCUAACGCGAUAAGUUCUCCGCCUGGGGAGUACGGCCGCAAGGUUAAAACUCAAAUGAAUUGACGGGGGCCCGCACAAGCGGUGGAGCAUGUGGUUUAAUUCGAUGCAACGCGAAGAACCUUACCAGCCCUUGACAUCUUCGGAACUUGGUAGAGAUACCUUGGUGCCUUCGGGAACCGAAUGACAGGUGUUGCAUGGCUGUCGUCAGCUCGUGCCG